UUGGAGAUGAAAAGGAGAAAUUGAGAACAUAUAAUGGUCCUGUGAAGGAUAAGAAAGUGAAACAGCCAAGUGGUAAAGGUGUGAAUGCAGGUUUGGUGAGAAAGAACAAAGUCGGGAAAGAUGAAGAGGUGGCAGCAACAGCGGCUGUUUUGAAUGGUACUUUGAGUUUAGACUCGAAUCUAGGCAGGCGGUUAAGAGCAGACUGUUGAAUGACAAGCACACUCGAUUGAACAAGCAAGCGGGAAAGUCUGAUGCAGUGUCUUCUGAAGCACCAAUAUUUAGCCAUAGCAUUGAAUGCUACAAGCAACGGUUAUUGGCAGUUAUAGCACUGAAUGCUACAAGCAAUGGAUUGGGAUAUCUAAAUAGUGGUCUUCCACACAGACAGCGGUAAGCGGGUUGCAUAUGAUUGGAGUGUCGUGUUCACAUCUAAGG